GCCAGGUGUGGUGGUGCACACCUGUAAUCCCAGCUACUCAGGAGGCUGAGGCAGGAGAAUCGCUUGAACCUGGGAGGUGGAGGUUGCAGUGAGCCAAGAUCGCACCACUGCACUCCAGCCUGGGUGACAGAGUGAGACUCUGUUUCAA
rnacentral:SRP_RNA from 1 species